CAGUUAUUAAAUAAAUAUAGAUCUUCUGUGAGGAAAAAAAUUUAUAAUUCAAGAAUAAACAUGUCAUCAAAUCUAAGAAGAACUUGUGCCAUUUCAAGCUGCUUUAGUCCUAAGGGAGUUUCAUAUCAUCGCUUUACAAAAGAUCCAGUUAUUAGUACAAUUUGGAUUUUGCAGAUGUAAAGGGGGUAAAAAUUCGAUUCAAAUACAUCUCGGAUUUUCCAACGUCAUUUUUCCCCAGAUGAUUUUGAAGGAGACAAUAGGUCUUUAUACCUAUCUCAAAAAUUGAUGUAUAGAAUAUUUUAUAACUACUCGCUUAAUCAAUGUGUAUUGGAUUUUUUUUUUCUCAAGACUACGAGCUCUUGAAGGAGAUAAUUAUCAUCCCUCCUCGUUUGACUUCAUUCAAAUACUUAUAAUUUUAAUUAUCGAAAAAAAUCACAAUCUCCUCAUAAAAAAACCUGUUGUUCAAAUGGAGGACGAGUUGGAUCAAACAAAUGAUACAUUUAUAACUCAAGAAGUUGUUGAAUAUUAUACUGACAACAAUUCUUAAGGUAGUGAUAUUGACAAUCAGCUCUUGCCGUCAAAUUAUUAAUAUAUAAUGAUGUUUCUCACUAUGUUUAUUAUUAAUUAAUAUUAGAUGUAAAUUACAUAGGUAUAUCUUAUCAUAUUCAAUAUAAUUGAAGUAUUAUUGGAAGAUUA
rnacentral:lncRNA from 1 species